rnacentral:rRNA from 1 species
AUGGCCGAAUGCUUCAAUAGGGUGCUCAAAGGUGCACGUGGAUUACCCGUGACGGCAAUAGUUCAAUACACAUUUGACAAGAUGAAUGCGUACUUUGUAAAGUACUCGAUGGAAACCGAUGCACAGAUAGCGGGUGAGAACCCACGGAAGUACAAGUACAAGUUCCCACCCAAAGUUGAUGAAUGGUUGGUAUUUCAAUCACGGAAGGCGGACUCAGAAGAAGCUAUAUUAUAUGACAACGAAGAGUGGAAGUACGAAGUGAAAGAGCCAGGAGGAACCACAAACGACGGCCGGCAACAUGGAGGUCGGGCUUUCAAGGUGUCGUUAACACAAUGUGAUUGCACUUGCGGGAGGCCAUUGUUGCUUCAUCUCCCAUGCUCACAUUUGUAUGCCACCGGUCGCAUUAGGAAUGUGGACAUCAAUCACCCACGCACCGUGAGGGAGUCAGAGUUCUCAAUCAUGACGGUCAAGAAAACAUGGGCUCCCCGCUUUCACCCAUACUUUGACCAAUCACAAUGGCCGGAGUAUCAUGGAGUUCAACUAUGGCUGGAUCCG